GUUAAGUGACUAAGCGUACACGGUGGAUGCCUUGGCAGUUGGAGGCGAUGAAGGACGUAUUAACUUGCGAUAAGCCUAGUCAAGCUAGUAAAAAGCACUUGAGACUAGGAUUUCCGAAUGGGGAAACCCACCUGCUUGCAGGUAUCGUUAACUGAAUACAUAGGUUAACGAGGCGAACGCGGAGAACUGAAACAUCUAAGUACCCGUAGGAAAAGAAAUCAACCGAGAUUCCGAUAGUAGCGGCGAGCGAAAUCGGAACAGCCCUUAAGCUUAUUAUGUGUUAAUGGAAGGCUCUGGAAAGUGCCACGAUACAGGGUGAUAGUCCCGUACAUGAAAACGCAUUUUAAGUGAAAUCGAGUAGGUCGGAGCACGUGAAACUUUGACUGAAUAUAGGUGGACCAUCAUCUAAGGCUAAAUACUCCCAACUGACCGAUAGUGAACCAGUACCGUGAGGGAAAGGCGAAAAGAACCCCUGUGAGGGGAGUGAAAUAGAACCUGAAACCGUGUACGUACAAGCAGUAGGAGCCCCUCGAGGGUGACUGCGUACCUUUUGUAUAAUGGGUCAGCGACUUAUAUUUUGUAGCGAGGUUAACCGAUUAGGGUAGCCGUAGGGAAACCGAGUCUUAACUGGGCGAAUAGUUGCAAGGUAUAGACCCGAAACCCGGUGAUCUAGCCAUGGGCAGGUUGAAGAUUGAGUAACAUCAAUUGGAGGACCGAACCCACUAACGUUGAAAAGUUAGGGGAUGACCUGUGGUUAGGAGUGAAAGGCUAAUCAAACCGGGAGAUAGCUGGUUCUCCCCGAAAUCUAUUUAGGUAGAGCCUCGGACGAAUACUUACGGGGGUAGAGCACUGUUAAGGCUAGGGGGUCAUCCCGACUUACCAACCCUUUGCAAACUCCGAAUACCGUAAAGUAAUAUCCGGGAGACACACGGCGGGUGCUAACGUCCGUCGUGAAGAGGGAAACAACCCAGACCGCCAGCUAAGGUCCCAAAGUCAUAGUUAAGUGGGAAACGAUGUGGAAAGGCCCAGACAGCCAGGAGGUUGGCUUAGAAGCAGCCAUCCUUUAAAGAAAGCGUAAUAGCUCACUGGUCGAGUCGGUCUGCGCGGAAGAUGUAACGGGGCUAAACUAUGCACCGAAGCUGCGGAUUCAGAAUUUAUUCUGAGUGGUAGGGGAGCGUUCUGUAAGCGGUUGAAGGUGUACCGGGAGGUAUGCUGGACGUAUCAGAAGUGCGAAUGCUGACAUGAGUAACGAUAAUGCGGGUGAAAAACCCGCACGCCGGAAGACCAAGGGUUCCUAUCCCAUGUUAAUCAGGGUAGGGUAAGUCGACCCCUAAGGCGAGGCCGAAAGGCGUAGUCGAUGGGAACCAGGUUAAUAUUCCUGGGCCAGGAGGAUGUGACGGAUCUCGAAGAUUGUUCGACCUUAUCGGAUUGGUCGGGCCGUUUAGAGGUCCCUGGAAAUAGCCCUCCAUGAGACCGUACCCUAAACCGACACAGGUAGAUUGGUAGAAUAUACUAAGGCGUUCAAGAUAAGUAUGUUGAAGGAACUCGGCAAAUUAGCUCUGUAACUUCGGAAAAAGGAGUAAUAAACAAUAAUUUUUGUUUAUUGUCAUUAAAGAAGGGGAAGCGACUGUUUAAUAAAAACACAUGUCUCUGCAAAUUUGAAAAAAGAUGUAUAGAGGCUGACACCUGCCCGGUGCUGCAAGGUGAUGUGCGUUUGCUAAGGCAAUCAAACUAAUCCCCAGUAAACGGCGGCUGUAACUCUGACGGUCCAAAGGUAGCGAAAUUCCUUGUCGGGUAAGUUCCGACCUGCACGAAUGGUGUAACCAUGGCCACGCUGUCUCCACCCGAGACUCAGUGAAAUUGAAAUCGCAGUGAAGAUGCUGUGUACCCGCGGCUAGACGGAAAGACCCCGUGAACCUUUACUACAGCUUGGCACUGAACAUUGAACCUACAUGUGUAGGAUAGGUGGGAGACUUUGAAGCAGAGACGCUAGUUUUUGUGGAGUCGUCCUUGAAAUACCACCCUUGUAGUUUUGAUGUUCUAACGUUGGCCCCUGAAUCGGGGUUACGGACAGUGCCUGGUGGGUAGUUUGACUGGGGCGGUCUCCUCCCAAAGAGUAACGGAGGAGCACGAAGGUUGGCUAAGUACGGUCGGACAUCGUACGGUUAGUGUAAUGGUAGAAGCCAGCUUAACUGCGAGACAGACACGUCGAGCAGGUACGAAAGUAGGUCAUAGUGAUCCGGUGGUUCUGAAUGGAAGGGCCAUCGCUCAACGGAUAAAAGGUACUCCGGGGAUAACAGGCUGAUACCGCCCAAGAGUUCAUAUCGACGGCGGUGUUUGGCACCUCGAUGUCGGCUCAUCACAUCCUGGGGCUGAAGUCGGUCCCAAGGGUAUGGCUGUUCGCCAUUUAAAGUGGUACGCGAGCUGGGUUUAGAACGUCGUGAGACAGUUCGGUCCCUAUCUGCCGUGGGCGUUUGAGAAUUGAGAGGGGUUGCUCCUAGUACGAGAGGACCGGAGUGAACGAACCGCUGGUGUUCGGGUUGUCAUGCCAAUGGCAUUGCCCGGUAGCUACGUUCGGAACUGAUAAGCGCUGAAAGCAUCUAAGCGCGAAGCAGGCCUCGAGAUGAGUUCUCACUAGACUUUUAAAGUCUCUGAAGGGCCGUUGAAGACUACAACGUUGAUAGGCAAGAUGUGGAAGUGGUGUGAGCCAUUAAGCUAACUUGUACUAAUUACCCGUGAGGCUUAACC
rnacentral:rRNA from 1 species